rnacentral:rRNA from 1 species
CGCCGAAUAUGGUGUAAGGAUCGACCUUCUUGUAUAAGUGGCGGACGGGUGAGUAACACGUGAGAAUCUACCUUUUGUAGAGGGAUAACAUCGGGAAACCGCUUAUUAAUACCUCGUAUAGCUGAAGAGUUAUAGCGGUCUAUAAAAACGGCGACUUGAGAUGAGCUUGCGGCUGAUUAGCUAGUUGGUGAGGUAAAGGCUUACCAAGGCCACGAUCAGUAUCUGGUUUGAGAGAAUGACCAGACACACUGGGACUGAGAUACGGCCCAGACUCCUACGGGAGACAGCAGUGGCUAAUAUUUCACAAUGGGCGAAAGCCUGAUGAAGCAAUGCCGCGUGGAGGAUUAAGAUCUAUUGAUUGUAAACUCCUUUUAUCGGGGAAGAAAAACUGACGUUACCUGAGGAAUAAGAAUCGUCUAACUUUGUGCCAGCAGACGCGGUAAUACAAGGGAUUCAAGCGAUACCUGGUAUGAUUGGGCGUAAAGGGUCUGUAGGCGGUUACACAAGUUUAAUGUAAAAGACUUAGGCUUAACCAAAGGGUUGCAUUAAAAACUAUGUUACUAGAGUUCGGAAGAAGUAGAGGGAAUUCCUAAAGGACAAGUGAAAUGUGUAGAUAUUAGGAGGAACACCAGAGGCGAAAGCGCUCUACUAGGACG